UCCGCCCGCUGGCGGCGUGCUUAACACAUGCAAGUCGAACGGAAAGGCCCUGCUUGCAGGGUACUCGAGUGGCGAACGGGUGAGUAACACGUGGGUGAUCUGCCCUGCACUUCGGGAUAAGCCUGGGAAACUGGGUCUAAUACCGGAUAGGAGCCAUUUUUAGUGUGAUGGUUGGAAAGUUUUUUCGGUGUAGGAUGAGCUCGCGGCCUAUCAGCUUGUUGGUGGGGUAAUGGCCUACCAAGGCGGCGACGGGUAGCCGGCCUGAGAGGGUGGACGGCCACAUUGGGACUGAGAUACGGCCCAGACUCCUACGGGAGGCAGCAGUGGGGAAUAUUGCACAAUGGGCGCAAGCCUGAUGCAGCGACGCCGCGUGGGGGAUGACGGCCUUCGGGUUGUAAACUCCUUUCGCUAGGGACGAAGCUUUUUGUGACGGUACCUAGAUAAGAAGCACCGGCUAACUACGUG
rnacentral:rRNA from 1 species